rnacentral:misc_RNA from 1 species
GAGAGAGAAAGUUUCACCAACGAACGCGGUUUCAUAGACAUUCAAUGUUCAUGCAUUAAAACACAGCUGUAACUGGUCUUGCUCACUUUCUUGUUUGCAUUACUAUAAUGUAUGAGAAAGGAGCAAUUUUUAUAUUGUAUUUUAGAUCUUAGCCCAUUAAAAGCUACCAACUUUUAUUGGAUCUUUCCAAAACUGACCUAGCAGACCAUCCUUAAGAGUAACUGAGACCCAAAAAUCGUCAUCAAAAGCAGUUUUCUGUUUUUUUGGGGUCUGAAAUUUUCAGUGCACUGGUAAUGUUCGUUGUAUGGUGUUUCUCUGUGAAGUUUCUUGGAGUCUAAGAUUCUAUUUUUGGAAAGACAAAUAAAAAUAUUUGGAAUUUUUAAAGUUUCUAUAAAUGGAAAAUUCAA